UACUGGCUUGUGUUAGUGAGGUCCUCUAC
rnacentral:piRNA from 1 species